CUUGCGCAAUGUCAUUUUAUUACUACAUCACAAUUUACAAUAGUGGAAGCAGGACGCGAGCCCAUUUUCAGGAUUUCAGAAAAAUCCAUAAGGUUUUUACGACUGAACCGACGAUCUACACCCAAGCAGGUUUGAAUUGUAGAUCCACCCCCUCCCCCAAUCGCUUUUUUGUGUACAAGUAAGACCAACGCAACAGCCAGGAGCAAGGAGGAGCAGGCAUCGUUUUGAUAUCAAGAGCAGCUUGGUUGCUGUCUGGGGUGAUACCAUGAUCGUCUUGUUAAACAAAAUCAUUACUGCAAUACUGUCUUUUGUUUCCUAAACAAUCCCAUUUGGUCCACAAAUGAAAUUUCAGAUUACAGGUAAUUUUGCUAUUGUUACGGGGCAGUGGUGUUCUGUCAUGUUGACCUUGCCCGUUUCUUUAUGUGUUCAUCUCUGCACAUACACAGUAAGAUGUUCUGUGUUAAAUCAACUCUUUCAGAGUACAUAAGGUCCCUAUUGCACUCCCUAGAUGUACUCUGUUAGAGUCAAAUUAACACUGGACAUUCUGCUGUGUAGAAGGAAUAUAAAGUUUUGUGUUGUUUCUGGAGAGAAUUGAUGGGGAUGUGUGGUUGAGAUAACGUGUCCCUUUUGUGUUGUAGCUGGCGAGAAUGGAUGGGGAUGUGUGGUUGAGAUGUGGCGUCCCCUUUGUGCUGUUUCUGAAGAGAAUGGAUGGGGAUGUGUGGUUGACAUGUGGUGUACCUUUUGUGUUGUUUCUGGAGAGAAUGGAUGGGGAUGUGUGGUUGAGAUGUGGUGUCCCUUUUGUGCUGUUUCUGGAGAGAAUGGAUGGGGAUGUGUGGUUGAGAUAUGGUGUCCCUUUGGUGUUGUUUCUGAACAGAAUGGAUGGGGAUGUAUGGUUGAAACGAGGUGUUCCUGUGUUUUGCCUUUAUUCCUCAAUGGGAUGCGGGAAAGACAGAUCAGAGGGUGGCUGGGGUCACUUAAAUCCCGGCCUUAAACACCACCAUAAAACUUACCCCAAAACAUUUUGAUCCAAUUAAUAAUAAUUUUAUCAUAAAUCCCACUGAGCAGCAUUUCUACUCUUCUGUUUAAUGGUAGCAAGGUUUUUGGCAUAUCUAAUUUCAGCAAAUAUGUAGUUUCGAGCUUUGGUUUUUGAUCAUUUAAUCUGCAGGGAUAAUACUAAACAAAUAGGAUGCGGUAGUUUUAUUCUUGGAAUGUGGGUGCUAAAAUAUAAAACACAUUUCCUGUCGUGGAUAACAUUGUUGAUCUUUAUAAUGAUAUGCUGUAUAAAUGUUUUUAGGUACAUAAGCAUUUGUUAACAUGAGAUUGUGUGUGUGUAUUGUGUUUGUGCAUGUCUGUGUGUGUGCAUGUGUGUGUGCAUGCGUGUGUGCAUUUGUGUGUGUGUGUCUGUGUGUGAGUGAAAGAUUGAUAGGGUCAUUUCUAUUUAAAUAUAUGUGAUCUCCUUGUUUUGACUGCUUUUUUUGGUAAGCUUUCUUGGAUAUCUUUCUUAGUAAUCUCUUGUUUUAUUGAAAGAGAUGUUAUCAUCAGAUUAUAACUUGCACAAUGUAUUAACUAUUAUAUCUAACACAUAGUGUAAGUUGUGACAAUCGUUGUUGGUUACUUUAUCAUCCCUUUAUGAAAUUAUUACUAGCACCCUCCUUACUUUGAAUUUUACAUUUUUAGCUUAAAAAAAUGUAAAAUGUGCAUGUGUGUGUAUAAUCUGCAUGCACAAUUAUGACAUCAUUAAAUUAUGUUGAAAUGUAAUCAAAUUCACAAAAAAAAGAUUUUUAUUACAACAUUAAUUAAUUGUAGUAGGCUAGAGAAUGUGUUGGCUGAUUCUGCUUGAAAGAUAAUGCAGUUUGUAAAGGUGUAUCUCUAUGGAAUUAACAGAAAUUAGAACAUAUGCAGCAACACAGUAAAAUGUUCAGUGUUAAUUCAAUUUUAAUACAAUUUAUAUAAGUCCAGUAAGGACUAAAUACUCUGUAUUGAUACUAAAUGUAUUCUAUCAGAGUUGAUUUAACACUGAACAGUUUGCUGUGUGGUUUCAGUGUGGAAUUACAGCAUAUUAUCAUUUUGCCACAGUUGUUCCACUUCUAUCUUUGUUAUGUAUCAUUAAUGUUCUGUUACAAAUACACAUCUGCCAAGCCAAGUAAAUAUUAGUGUGUCCAAACAAUUUAUAAUUUCAACAGCAUUAUUAAAACUCAUAAAUAAAACACAAUUACAUCUUGUUUUGUAUUGCCAUCCAAAUUGUUUUGACUCAGGGUCAGGGUUGUAAUUCCAAAAACUAUAUUAUUAUAGGAAUGCACAAAACGGUGUAGUAACGAUGUUGCCCUGUGGUUAUGUUUAUUGUCAGCCUGUGUUAAUUAGAUCAGACAACAAUCGACUUAUGUUAUUCACAAAAUAAUGUUAACUCUACAGCUAAUUGGCUACUUGUUUGCAGUGGCAGGAGAGUUACCACAGCUUGUGUUCGAUAUCACAUAACCACUUUAGUAAUUUGGCUAUUAUUCACUAAACCCAAAUGCAUUUCCUUUCCUUAAGUAAGCCUUUGUAUUUAUAAGUGUUUCAAGUGAUAUAAUGCUUUAAAAUGUAACAUCACAAUCAUUUGCUCUAAGGAACCCAUACAAAUAUGCAUGCUGAGCCUGCACAUAUUUGACAUCAGAACCUUUUUUUUGUGAUCAAAUGUAAAACGUAAUUGUCAAAUACAUCUGCGAUAUGUUUACAAUAUAUAAAUGGCUUUGAACAUGAAUAAGCAAAACAAGAACAUGAUUUUCUCUCAUUUUUUUCUCCUAAAGUCCAGGUCUACUGGCUUUCCUCAGCAGUGUAAACCCACAUUCGAUUUAACUUAAUAAUCAGCACCAACUCAUAUUUACUCAACUGAUAAAUUCUUUAUUUCUUUAAUCACCAAACAUCUUUGUGCUGCUGCUGUAACUACUGUAACCACUGUUCUGUAAUAGCAAACCAUAUUUAUUAUGCAUGGAUUAGAUUGCUUCCCAUAUGAACUCCAAUGCUUGAGUACAGAUGUUGGAUUUAUGCAACAAUCUAUUUAUUCAGGUUACUGAACUAUUAAUCACUUGCUGUUAAAUAUUGUUGUUGUUUUCUCUCUUGUGAUUAGGUGGCCUGAACAAGGGGUGCUGGCUUUCAUCACAGUGCAUGUUAUUAAUUUUCCUUUCUAAUUUAUGUGAUCUCUACAGUGAAUUAUAAAAUAGCGAGUUCAAGUGUCAGUUGGGCAUUGCAGUGGAAAAGACAGAAAUUCAAAAUCAUGUUGUUUGGAGCAAAAUAGAAUAAUAUCAUUCACAGAAGUGUGUUGUUUUUCAUUAAUCAUUUUUUGUUGAAAUUUAUAUUGUAAAAAAAAAAAAAA